rnacentral:rRNA from 1 species
UGGGGAAUUUUGGACAAUGGGGGCAACCCUGAUCCAGCCAUGCCGCGUGAGUGAAGAAGGCCUUCGGGUUGUAAAGCUCUUUCGGCGGGGACGAAACGGUCCGUGACAACACCACGGACUAAUGACAGUACUCGCAGAAGAAGCACCGGCUAACUACGUGCCAGCAGCCGCGGUAAUACGUAGGGUGCAGGCGUUAAUCGGAAUUACUGGGCGUAAAGCGUGCGCAGGCGGUUGUGUAAGUCAGAUGUGAAAUCCCCGGGCUCAACCUGGGAAUUGCAUUUGAGACUGCACGGCUAGAGUGUGUCAGAGGGGGGUAGAAUUCCACGUGUAGCAGUGAAAUGCGUAGAUAUGUGGAGGAAUACCGAUGGCGAAGGCAGCCCCCUGGGAUAACACUGACGCUCAUGCACGAAAGCGUGGGGAGCAAACAGGAUUAGAUACCCACGUAGUCCCUGAGCGGGCUGGCAAGGCGCAU